GGAAUUUUCCGCAAUGGGCGAAAGCCUGACGGAGCAAUGCCGCGUGUGUGAAGAAGGUCUUCGGAUUGUAAAGCACUUUAAGUUGGGAGGAAGGGCAGUUACCUAAUACGUGAUUGUUUUGACGUUACCGACAGAAUAAGCACCGGCUAACUCUGUGCCAGCAGCCGCGGUAAUACAGAGGGUGCAAGCGUUAAUCGGAAUUACUGGGCGUAAAGCGCGCGUAGGUGGUUUGUUAAGUUGAAUGUGAAAUCCCCGGGCUCAACCUGGGAACUGCAUCCAAAACUGGCAAGCUAGAGUAUGGUAGAGGGUAGUGGAAUUUCCUGUGUAGCGGUGAAAUGCGUAGAUAUAGGAAGGAACACCAGUGGCGAAGGCGACUACCUGGACUGAUACUGACACUGAGGUGCGAAAGCGUGGGGAGCAAACAGGAUUAGAUACCCUAG
rnacentral:rRNA from 1 species